rnacentral:sRNA from 1 species
GGCUUCUUCCUCCCGAUUUCAGAGCUUCUCUCUCUUCCACUCUCUCUCUCUCUCUCUCUCCCCCUCCAUUGAAGCACCUCCAUACACAGGUAUCGUUUCUCCCGUAAUUAUAUAUUUAAUUAUUUGAAAGUUAGUUCUUUUGUGUAAAAUUCUUUAGCUUUUGAUUACCUGCAAUUUUCAAUUUUAUACAAUAUAGGAUUUUUGGAUAAUUUCAUGAUUUAGCGAUCCUACUAAUGAUAUAUGAAGUAGAAUCAAUAUGAGGAAUAGAUUCUUCAAUUUCGUAGCUUCCAAGCCUAAACAAGUGAUUUUUUGCGUUUGUUUAUGUCUGAUUUGCACCGAUUUUGGUCGGAUCUAUUUCUGAUUUUUGUUUUCCGUUUGAGCACCGGUUGUUUUUGCAUUGCUGGGAAGUUAAUUUUCUACAACUGAGAGUUUUCCUGGCAAAGAGGAUAUUUUGCGGUUUGGUUCCUUGCUUGGUCAUUCUCUGUUUUACUUCCGGCGGUCCUGUUAUUUUUUGGAAAAUCAGGAAUUUGAACAUCAGCUUGCGACUUCGCCGUCGUUUUGAACGCCACCAGCUUCGAUGCAGUCCUUGGAGACACCCCUGCCUCCUUUGCCAUAGUCGAAUUCUUUGCUCACUGGUGCAAAACGCCAUAGAGUAUUUAAACAUCAUCUGGGCCUUCGAUGAGAAUGAGAAUCUAACUGUUUUAGAUAUUUCAGAAUUUCAGAAAGCAAGUGCGGUUUGAUCAAUUAAGGCCAACCUGAUUUACAGAUGUCUGAUUAGAGGAAACGUUGUUGUUCGAAUUUUAGGGUUUUUGUAUAGAAGCUUGCAAGCCCUCUCGAACCAGAAGUUAGUGGUGAUUCGAAACCUGUUAACUGGGAUGAGAAUUAGAGUGGCUUGAAAUCGGAGAAAAUUGAAUUGCAGGUGGUGUUCUGAUUUUUCAUUCCUUCUCAUCACUUCUACAAGAGGUGAGAAAUACAAUUGGGAAAGAUAUGCUGAGAGAACUUGGAAUCAGCUUUUCACAUAACAUGGAUGAUGAAUGUAUGAAACUCAUACACAGAAUAACUCCACCAAGAUUUUAGCUACCUGGCAAUCAACGACUAAUAUCACUUCCAAGAAGGCAAGAUCAACAUAUGGCAUGUCACAACAGUAUAUUUUUCACAAACAGAUUGUAAAAUUGUACACAUCACAUUA